rnacentral:sRNA from 1 species
CUGCAGGUUCGGUGUCGAACGCAGUGAGACAACGGAGCCGCUUGCGGCGACGGCCCGAAGGGCGAGCGAAGCGAGUCAUCCUGCACGACCCACCA